rnacentral:tRNA from 4 species
GCCGCGUUAGCUCAAUUGGUAGAGGAGUGGGAAGAAGCCCACAUGGACCCUGGUUCGAUUCCAGGACGCGGCACCA